UUGAAUAACAGUGAAGCUACUGUCAAUGUAUUUUGUUGUUGGAUUUGGUGACUGCACGACAGUUUAUAUGACAGUCAAUUACAGUCACCCUUACGUACGAGAUUCUGUGUGUUUUUUGUUGUUGGCUUUGCGAACUGUCGUGACUGUCAGCUGCAGUCAAAAUACUGUAGGUUUUACGUAAAAAGUUUUAUGUGUUUCUUUAUCUUCUUUGGUAUCGUGUAUGUAUUUUUGCAUUCCCAAGGUAAGUAACAUUAACAUUUUAUAAGUUUAUUAAAUAUUUUAUGAAAAUCCAUAACUUUUUCUGCCCACUAAAAUACUUUCUGGUAUAAUUCUGGUAUAUAUUUCUAAACUUCUAGUAUAUUGCAAACGUUUCUUGAAAAAACGAUUUCGGGCACACUUAAAAAGCGGCGUCGGUUUCGAGAAGUUGUGCAGCGAAAAGUGAAGUGAAAAAGUUAAAAGUAAAAGUUAUGAGUGAUAUUGACCUUCCUUUUUCUGGAGGAGUGGGAUUUCAGAGACUUAUUGCCCACAUUUCUCGGUGAAAGUAUACACAUGUAACUAUAAAACAUAACUAUGUAAAUGGAAUCAACAAAAUAAAAGCUAUAGUCGAGACAAAAGUACCAGUUCGGAUGUGAAAUAUGGACUAAUAUAUAUUUGAAAUAUAUAUAUAUAAGUCCAUAAUAUUAUUAAUUAAGACCCUCUG